UUCACAAUGCCGAGAUCGACCAUCCAGGCCAGGGAGAGGAUUAUAUGCACGAGCAUAGCCCCUGGUGGUGCACCCAGUCCAUAUGGACUGAGAUGUGUGCCCAAUGGAGAGCUGAGAGCUGGGUGAAAAGACGAAAGACUGCCUCCACCAACAGAUCCUCGGGUGUACCCGAUGGCGAAAAGGCUAAAGGGACAUACAAGGGCGGCAGUAUUUCACAGUUGCAGCAUAUCACUGCCAGGGUACGUAUUUACAAGUUUUAAUAUGUUUGCAAUAAUGAAUUCUAGAAAAUAUAUCACAUUUUUACUUAGUAAUAUUGUGCUAUUUUUUGUAUAGGAGUCUCAGUCUCA
rnacentral:lncRNA from 1 species